GUGACUUGUGUAGUCAGGUCAUGUGACCUUGCAUGCAACAUGCUGCUCUCCAAAAGUUUGACCUGCUGUUUUCCUGCUUGCUAUUUUUUGCAAAUCAUCUGUAGUAUACACUGCAGUGUUCAGUAAGUCGAAUGCUAGUGUUCUGUGCUGAACAAAAGUCAUUGGGAUGAGAAUGGAUGAGCAGCAAAGGACAAAAACAAGAAAACAGAAAAACAUUAAGAUCAACAAAAUCCACAGACUGAGGACUGCGCGGACGACACACAACACACAGGCGCUGCUGUGUCUCCGGCCCGUUUCUAUUGUCUCCUGGCUUUUUCCAGCACAAAAACCUCACCAAACAACUGGGACUACUAGACGUGGAUUUCUCUCUCUCUCUCUCUCCCUCGAGCUCUUCCGAAUACGUGCCAAGAUGAAUUCGAGUCAAAUGAAGAAAGUUAGCAAUCCUGCGGGGAAUGGAAGUGUGAUAU
rnacentral:lncRNA from 1 species